rnacentral:rRNA from 1 species
UACGUAGGGUGCAAGCGUUUAUCCGGAAUUAUUGGGCGUAAAGAGCUCGUAGGCGGUUUGUCGCGUCUGCUGUGAAAACUGGAGGCUCAACCUCCAGCCUGCAGUGGGUACGGGCAGACUAGAGUGCGGUAGGGGAGAUUGGAAUUCCCGGUGUAGCGGUGGAAUGCGUAGAUAUCGGGAGGAACACCAGUGGCGAAGGCGACUCUCUGGCCUGUAACUGACGCUGAGGCGCGAAAGCGUGGGGAGCGAACAGG